CCAUGGAACGGUGUAUGCCCUAAUUUGAGGAAUGCCCACCAUCGCACUCCGUUGCGCUCUCUCUCUCUCUCGGGGUCUCCACCUCCUCGCAAUCUUCGCCACCGAUUCUUCUGUACAGGUCUUGCCAUCUGCAUCAUUUCUUCUCCUCGCAGCUGGACGCUGCAUCAUCCACGUUAUGGCCUUAGCCUUGUCGCCGUUGGUUCUCUAAUCUCCGGUCAAGGGCUUCAGAUUACUCAUUGGAUGGACGGAAUUUAAUUUAUGAGGUUUCAUGGUGAAGUUUACUGCAUAAAAUGAUAUUUGGGAAAUGAGGCAACCGAAGUAUAUCGAAAAGAAUGCAGAUUCCUCGGUGGUUGACAUCACUUCAGCGGCAGUUUGAAGAGCGUGUGCAGCACCAACUGCGAGCAAGUCGUGAUGGGGGUGUGACGGCUGCUGUGGCUGGUCUGCAAUGGCCAGAUUGGCAUUGGAACUGGAGAUGGCCAUGGCAGGACAGGAGGGCGACAGCACCCCAGCGAGAGGCAGGAGAAGAAUACAAGAAAAAAGUGGCAGCAUUGUGCAGUGCACUGAAGGUAGACAAUGUGACAGACCUGCAAGACCUGUUGGGGGCCAUGGUUCUAUCAGAGUGUGUAUACAAGCGGCCGGACUCUGAGGUGAUUAGGGCUGUAAAUAAGUUUAAGGCAGAUUUCGGUGGUCAGCUUGUAGGUGUAAAUUACAUUCAAGCUUCACUGGAUCAUGUUCCUCACAGGUACUUGCUUGCCGAAGCUGGGAACACUUUAUUUGUCUCCUUCAUUGGUACCAAGCAGUUGCAGGAUGUGGUGGCUGACGUUAAUUUUCUCCAACGAGCUGUAUUUGAAGACGAGGAUAUUGAAGGUGACAAUUCCGAUGGCGACGAUCAACAGAAGGUGGUUGACGGAGCAACAGUUUCUUCACUACACCCCUCCACCUUUGGAAAUAAUGUGCAGAAGGGUCUCGGGUUGAACAACGGUGAAUUACCGCCUCGUCCAGCAAAGGCAGCGAAAUUCAAGGCUGCUGCACAUCGGGGUUUUCUCGCACGAGCAAAAGGAGUGCCAGCUACGGAAUUGUACAAACUAGCCCAACGAAAGGACCGGAGGUUGGUCUUGUGUGGGCACUCACUCGGUGGAGCAGUAGCGGUGCUCGCCACUUUGGCAAUACUUAGGGCGUUUGCAACGAAUUCUAUAUCUCGGGCAACAAAUAAAGUUCAGGUCAAGUGUAUCACCUUUUCACAGCCUCCCGUUGGAAACCCUGCGCUCCGAGACCUUGUGCAUAAGAAGGGAUGGCAGCAUCAUUUUCGAACUUACUGCAUCCCAGAAGAUGUCAUACCUCGUAUUCUGUCACCUGCUUAUUUUGAUCAUUUCCGCUCUCAAACAGUAGACCCUUCAGUUUUGGUACUGCCGAAUGGAGGUGCCAAGGACGAGGCAGACAAGAGGCAGGCAGGACAAGCAGGGAAAGAUCUCAAGAAAGAUGGUGAACAGCCGGUUUUGGGUGCUGGUUCUGUUCCAAAUCCUUACUGGAGGAUUGCACGACUUGCACCUCUCGCAGGUGCACCCAUGCAAUGGCUUAAAGGAAAAAUUAAGGAGGAUGACAAUAAUCAACUUGGAACCCCGAAUAAUGGAGGGGAACUCGCUAAUACCUCGGAUUUAGCACCUUCUCUUAAGAUACACGAAGACAGUGAAGGAGUCGCUUCGGUAGACGCUGAGGUGAAAGCAAUUUCUAGCGAUGGAAAGCCAGAGGUGAAAGCUGGUGGAGUGGCUGGUGGAGUGGCUGGUGAGUGGCUGGAGAGGGUGCCGUCCCUGCCGUCCUUACCAUCAUACGUUCCAUUUGGUGAGCUGUAUCUUCUAGAGAAGCUUGCUGUUCAACAACUUUCUGCCUCAGAAUUUACCCAGUUGUCCUCAGUGCAGUCGGUUUUGUUGGAAUUGAGAGAACGCUGUCAUUCACAUUCUAUGAAAUCAUACCGAGCUCGUUUUCAACAGAUCUAUAAUACGUGCAUGUCAAAAGAUGUUCCCAUCAGUAAUAUUGAGAACUUUCCUCUCUUGCCGCACCUGCAACAAUGGCUUAGUGGCCUAGGUGGGCAGGUGGCCGAAGUUGGAAGAAUCUUUGAGCCCAUUAACAUUAGGCUGGCAACAGCUAUGGUGCCUUUAGGCUGGAACGGUUCAAUUGGGGAGAAGAAAGGAAGUCGUCCUUUGAAGGUGGAUAUUUUGGGCUAUGGGUUACAUUUAUGUACCCUGGUCCGAGCCAAGGUGAAUGGACGGUGGUGCUCUACGUCCAUUGAAAUCUCUCCACCCGUCCCUUCCUGGGGAGUAGGAAGAAAAUCCAAGUUACAGAGGAUGCGCAUUCGUAUUGGGGAUCCCCUUCAUCGUUCAGCAUCUCAGCAAGAAAGAGCAGAUCUCUUAACUUCAGAAGCAACUAUGAAUGAGGAGCAUUAUGAAUCCAGUAACAGCUUGUAUGAUAUGGGUGAUGGGGGCAGAAGCAGCAGCUUUGAGGUUGACGGAUUAGGUGAAGUAACCAUAUUUUGCAGCACAGAUUUUAUGACGACGUCGAAAGAAGUUGCAAUGAGACUUCGGCGUGUUCGUUUGCUUGGUUUUGAAGGAGCAGGCAAAACCUCAUUGUACUUUGCCCUAUUGGGAGGAGAAGGCAUGAUGUUGGCCCAUAAUUUUGGAGGUAUGCUACCUGAUAUGGAUUGGCGGGAAGGGGUAUUGGGAGGUGUGAGCUACAUUGACGGCCCUGGAGUGAACCUUCAGGAUUUACCUGGAGAUGCUCAGCGACUUCAUAAGGAGCUGGCUGUGAAAGUUGGUCCAAACUCUAAGAAACUAGAUCUUGUGAUUGUGGUUCAUAAUUUAGCUCAUAAAAUUCCUCAAAUGCGAGCCUCAUCUCGACCUGCUCUUGCACUGCUCAUCGAUGAGGUGGCGGCAGCGGGAGUUCCAUACAUUCUCACCAUCACGAAUAAGUUUGCGGUGAGUGCAGAUAGACGACAACUAGCAACCAUGGCGGUUAUGGAAACCUACCAAAUGCCCCCCAACCGAAGUGUGGUGGUAAAUUCUUGUCCUCAUGUGGUUCACGGAAUAGUCGCGGAUAGUAUGUCUGAAAAAGAAGGUGCAGGGUGGCAACCACGUCUAUUAGCAGGUUCUAUGAACCUUGUACAAAGACCGUUCCGCAAAAAAGAAGUGGUGAAACCGUCCGAAGGCAUUGAGAACUUGCAGGCUCUAGUCCACAGAGUUUUGCUGGAGCAAGAGGAAGCUGCUAUGAAGGAGUUUUCAAAGCAAGUUUUGGCUUACGAGGAAGCCAAAGAAAUUGAUAAGCUAGAAGCCAAUAAUCUAAACCGUGACAAGUUUGCAGGUGCAACAACUGCUGCAGGUAUUGGAGCAGGUUUUGGACUGGUUAUAGCAUUUAUGGUGGGCGCUGCCAAUACUUUACGCAAACCUUGAACCCACCAACAGGCAAGGCUCGCACUUCCUCGGCAGAACUGUUGGAAUAUGAGGUAUCGGCUCCUCUUAGUGGCGUUUCUUUUACAAGCAUGAUCUGCUCUUAUUAUCCCUUUCAACGAUUGUUUGGCAAGAAAAUCGAUGACUUUGAACAAAGAACCUGGAAGGACAUCACAUUCUUCAGUUAAGUUUUGUUGCUAAUCAGCAACAACGGAGGCGUAAAUCAGCCAAUAGCAUUUGUUAGAAGAUUUUAUUUGCAGCCUCGAUUGUACCCAUUGAUGUGGAUUUUGGAGUUUUGAAGUCCCAAGCUUUGGCGAAAAUUAUUGCUGUCGUUGUAUUUGAGUUUGCAAGCUUUCCUACUCUUCUGAAGACCUUUGCAAAGGAUGCUUCAGGUGUCCCAUAAUCUCAGUGUGGGGAUUGUUGUCUGGAGUGUUUUCACGUGAUUAGGCAUUCUAGAUGGUGAGACAAGGAUGGGUGUAGACAAUGUAUUUCAGCUUAACUGCAAUUACUUAUAAGAUCCCUCCUUUUCAUGGAGCAAAGCUCCUGUACAGACCUUCUAUGAGAGUUGCACUAAUAAAUUACAUCCAAGCAU